ensembl:lncRNA
GGCGUGAGGCCAGCGGCCGCUCCGUUCCCUCCUUCUCCUCCUCCCCUGGCCGGGCCCGCAGGGGAGAGUGACACUCACCAGGCGGCUCCGUCCCGGCGGCAGCCCCCCGCGUCCCCCUGCGUCCCCCUGCGCCUCUGAUAAGCAGUUUCUGAGGAGUGAAGGACCUGCAAAAGGGAACACCCGCUCUUGAGGUUGCAAAGGUGCUAAAGCAUGGCUGACUUGGAUCACAACCUCAGUCUUGCGGAUGCUCUGACAGAGCCGCCUCCUGAGAUUGAGGAAGAAGUGAAAAGGGACUUCAUUGCCACACUGGAGGCAGAGAAAUUUGAUGACGUGGUUGGAGAAACAGUAGAUAAAACAGACUACGUUCCUCUGCUGGACGAUGAUGAUGCAAAAGCUGGGAGCCAGGAACCAAAGAGCAAACCCCAUGCAGAUGGUAUUCAGGUGGAAAAUACUUCAGCUUCUGGGCCAACAGUUGUAGAAAAUGGUGACCAUGGAAUAGAAGAUCACCGCACAGAAGCCUAGACUGUCUCCUAACACUGGGGCUGCCACUGAUACAAGACCAGUGUACUUUUCUACCUGCCAUUAUACUUCUAAAAUCUUCAGCAUUUUACAGAGCUCUUGCUUUACAUCCUUGGACUUUACGUGUAGAAGAAACCAAAGGGUAGCUGUGCUGUUGGCCGAUCAGCCCUGCUCCUCCUCCCUCUCUGCUCUGCAGUGCUUGUUGAAACCUUCCUUUCUUUGUGUAAGCACAAAUGUGCAUGAUGGUUUUGGACUGCACUAUUUCAGCACUCCCACUGUUUUUAAAUCACCACUACAGCUCCAUUUUCAGUUCAACCACUUUAAAAUUUAAUUUAUAUUCUUUUUCAUGGAUGCUUAAUAGCAGAAGGUUUGAUGUCAAAGUUGUGCUUUCAUAGCGGAUGGGUCCACCAUGACUGCAGCUCCUUUCCUUUCUACCCAUACUCACCACAGCCUUGUAGAAUAGUGCUGUUACCUGCCUUUAUCCUUGCUGCUUUGAAACCUUCUCUUAGGAGGUUUUUAUCUUUAAUAAUGUCUUCUUUGAAACAUGGGUUUUCACAUCAUAGCACUUACUAUACAGACUUGAGAAACAGAUUAGGAAAAACUCAUGUUUACCGAGGCACAAGCAGGUUGUCUCUGGUUUGUGUGGGGUUGAUUGUGGGAUUCAAGCGCUUGCUGUCAACUGGGGGUAUAAAGGAAAACGAUCAACCCUAAAUUCCUGCCUCAGGAAGUUGUUUUGCUGCUAUAUUGCUUUCUGAAGCCUUGGAAGUAAGAAAGAAACUUGCCUUUCUUUAACUUCAUAUCUCUAGCUUUGGUUUGGUAAUGACAACUUUGGAUGGAAUUUUACCUAGCAUGAAAAAUAAUCUGUCCCUUCUACAUCUGAAAGAAAGAAAAGAUCUAGGACUAAAUUGUUAAAUCUGUGCUGAAAUAUUUAUGACCAUUUCCAGCAACACCAAAAGGAAUGGGCCAGUUUGAACCUGAAACAAAGCUACAGGAGGUCAGCAAAUCCAUUGCAAUUCCUGCCGUCUCUAUAAAGGUGCAGAGUUUCCCAAACACAAAAGUAUUAGUUACUGCUAUUCAGCAGAUAAAACAAAAUUCAGAAGGAAAUGAUUUAGAGAGACUACUUAGUAUUUUACAUGAGGCAAGGGUUUUUGUAGAUGAGUGAACAUUUUGUUUGAGGAUAUUUGUGUUGUGUAGCUAAAGGGACCUCGCCUACAACACCUGAUAAAAGUACAGGAUUUAUAUGAACCCACAUCCAGUCUAAGGUAGGACAUGAUGCUCCAAAUUGCCUAAGGAUAGCAUUCUAACACCUUCACUUGCCUAAAAAAUGGUAUUUUCUUGUUGUGAAGAGAGUAGCUUGCACCUGGGCAUUCCUAGUACCCUGCCAGUACUUGUGACUACAUUACGAUACUGUCUACUAGUGACUUACUUGGAAGAGUAUCGUACCUUGAAUGAAUACUACUAUUCAACAAAAGGUUUUCUUUGAAGAUCUCCCUCAAAUAGCGACCCACUGAGUCUUGAUUAUUUAUUUAUUUUUUAAUCUGAGACCUCACCUGCUCCCCACCCAGGGUGGCAGUGUCCAGAGUUGCUGCAAUGAACUGUGUGUAAUUUGCCUGUUUAGUGAUGUGCAUCAGGACUUGAGGCUUUUGUUCUCUAAUUUGGUGGCAAUUUAUUACUUUACCCACCAUUCAAAGCCUCAUUAGUAGCUGACAUCCUCACGGUGCCAGUUUCUGAAAAAGCAGUACUGUUGGCUUCUCCUCCAAGGUAAAUAGCUGUCACUUCUGAGAAACCUCAUUGCCUACAGGCACUCAGCUGCCAAAGCCCUGUGCUUCCCUUGCCAGUCCGAUGUGCAGAGUGACCACACUUAGAGGCCAGCAGCCUUUGCAACCAGAUCCUGGCUGAGCUACAAAAAUAAGCGUUUCCCCAUGGACUAGAGCAAUAAUGGUAGCUGGGACACACAAUACAUGGGCAAGCAUGGCUGUCACAGGGUGCCCUAUCUCUUUCUGGUUUUACUGGAAAUAAUGCCACAUGGUAGCACGUGGCCAAAGGCCUCUACCUUUGACAAGUCUCCAAAGCCUCAUGAGUUCCCUUUCAGAGAGUGGGAGGCCGGUCUCAUGGUGGUCUGUGGGCCAUUGGACCAUUUCUCCAGCCAAACUUCACAUGUCAGGUCAUCUGCUUAGUCACACUGAAAGGUGAGGGGUGAGCAGUGGCAUGUGAUGCAAGAAGAGGUGUUUGGUCCUUCUUCUUGUCAUGAAGUGCUUUCCUCCUGGGUUUUUUUUGGUGCCUGUUGCUAUAAAAGGAGAUUGUUGUGUUCUUGGCUUUAUUUGUAAAGACCUCUUCGUAGCUUUUCUUUUUUUUUUUUUUGAAUGUGGUUGUUUUUGGGGCAAGGCAGCAUCAUGGCUAGUUUGGAGGUGUUUAACUUGCUUCCCCAAGCCAUUCUUUCUCACCUUUUGUCUUAAGUGGGUUUAAAGAUUUGUGCCCUAGAAAUAGAGAACAAAUCAUAAAUUACAGCGAGAAUUUUUCUGAUUGAAUAAUAGAAGGUUUCAGAUUAACUGAAUAUCAAACUUUCUCCCUCUCCCACAUUUGUUUUGUUUUGCUGAAAUGCAAUAAUUCUUUGAUGUAUUGGCUGGAGGGGAGUUUCUAGCACUUGUAGUGGCUGGCGGAGCUGUGGAGUGAUCUGCCUGGUGCAGGAGCCCCCAGCUCAAUGGACUCAGGUGGGAUGGGGGUGAGCUAAGCAGGACAACAGAGCCCUGAGCAGCCCAAAGCAAGAGACUGAACAGAGGCAGGGGCGCCCCUGGGGCUCAAGUGCUCUUUGCAGCUGCUAACAUGGAUAAUUCAUUCCAUUAUGCUACCACUUUUUUUUUUCUUCUUUUUUUUCCUCCCACCAUAUUUUUACCCUGUUGAUUUUAAAUGUCAUUAGGUUUACAAAUCUGAAUAUGACCUGUAGAUAGUGGAAGAGCUGGUUCUUUCUGUGUGUUUCGAGGGGGUAAGGGAUGUUGGAGAGUCAAUGUGGUGUGGUGUACCUUUUGUCACUCCCGGAAACUGCACAUGUAUCUUGCUGAAAACUCAAUGUAGUAAAUGAAUAUGCAGGGAUGUGUGUUUCAUUUUUCAGGUUUUAUUUUCAGAAAGCCAGGUAGCUACCAAAUGUGCUUGUCUGUUUAAAUUUAAUGUUAUCCAUACUUCCCUCCAGUCUUUGGAGAUGAUAUUAUAUCUUUGCAGAACAUACUCUUAACUUUCUUGUGCUUACAAGCUUGUCUGUUAUCACUUCUGAUUUUUCUUAAUUAUUCCAAUGCUUUGUAUGACGUGAAGCUGUAUAUCACUGUUGAAUAAAUCACCCUAAUAAACAUCUCAAACUAACCUCUCAA